CUUUCCGGUGUUGCUUCUUCGGGUUGGUUCUGAUAACGUCGCGUUUGUGAGGAUCCGUUCUACUUCGUCCGUUUGUCUUCUUCAUGGACUCGUUCUUCUUCCUUGCGGGAUCUCAGGCAAGAUGACCAUACCCUCAAAAUCACUUCUAUCUUUGCUUGCUAGUUGCUCGCUCUUUUGCUAUGCCUAUGCUGCGAUACCUACCAUUUGCUUAUCAUGCCUCCCAUAAUGUUGAGCCAAGCCUCUAACCCACCUUGUCCUAGCAAACCGUUGUUUGGCUAUUUUACCGCUUUGCUUAGCCCCUCUUAUAGCGUUGUUAGUUGCAGGUGAAGAUUGGAGUUUGUUCCAUGUUGGAACAUGGAUAUUUUGUUGGGAUAUCACAAUAUCUCUUAUUUAAUUAAUGCAUCUAUAUACUUGGUAAAGGGUGGAAGGCUCGGCCUUAUGCCUGGUGUUUUGUUCCACUCUUGCUGCCCUAGUUUCCGUCAUAUAUGUGUUAUGUUCCCGGAUUUUGUGUUCCUUACGCGGUUGGGUUAUAAUGGGAACCCCUUGACAGUUCGCCUUGAAUAAAACUCCUCCAGCAAGGCCCAACAUUGGUUUUACCAUUUGCCACCUAGCCUUUUCUUUCCCUUGAGUCGGCCGGCUCAAGGGUCAUCUUAUUUUAACCCCCCCGGCCCAGUGCUUCUCUAAGUGCUGGUCCAAACUGAGCGAUAUCCGAGGCUACCCGGGGCAACUCUAGGCUGGCUUACCCGACGUCUUGCUCAUUCGGUGUGCCCUGAGAACGAGAUAUGUGCAGCUCCUAUCGGGAUUUGUCGGCACAUCUGGGUGGUCUUGCUGGUCUUGUUUUACCAUUGUCGAAAUAUCUUGUAACCGGGAUUCCGAGCCUGGUCGGGUCUUCCCGCUAGAAGGAAUAUCCUUCGUUGACCGUGAGAGCUUGUGAUGGGCUAAGUUGGGACUCCCCUACAGGGAUUUGAACUUUCGAAAGCCGUGCCCGCGGUUAUGGGCAGAUGGGAAUUUUUUAAUGUCCGGUUGUAGAAAACAUGAAGUUGACCUUAAUUAAAAUGCACCAACCGCGUGUGUAACCAUGAUGGUCUCUUCUCGGCGGGGUUCGGGAAGUGAACACGGUGUUGGAGUUAUGCUUGAACGUCGGUUGUUCUAGGAUCACUUCUUGAUCACAGUUUCUCGACCGUGCCUUGCCUUCUCUUCUCGCUCUCAUUUGCGUAUGUUAGCCACCAUAUAUGCUAGUGCUUGCUGCAGCUCUAGCUCAUACUUUUACUCUGUCCAUAAGCUUAAAUAGUCUUGAUCGCGAGGGUGUGAGAUUGCUGAGUCCCCAUGACUCACAAAUUUUUCCAAAACCAGCUUGCAGGUGCCGAUGAUACUGUGCAGGUGACGUAACCGAGCUCAAGGAGGAGCUCGAUGAAGAUUGUGUCCGUUAUGGUGUUCCAUUUCAGUUGAUCAGUAGUGGAGCCCAGUCGGGACGAUCGGGGAUCUGUGUAGCAUUUGGGGUAGUCUUCUUUUAUUUUGGUUCCGUAGUCGGACCUUGUCUGUAUCUGGAUGAUGUAAUGCUUUAUUCAUGUAUUGUGUGAAGUGGCGAUUGUAAGCCAACUAUGUAUCUCUUUCCCUUAUGUAUUACAUGGGUUGUGUAAAGAUUACCUCACUUGCGACAUUGCUUACAAUGCGGUUAUGCCUCUAAGUCGUGCUUCAACACGUGGGAGAUAUAGCCGCAUCGUGGGCAUUACAAGUUGGUAAUCAGAGCCUUCCCCGACCUUAGGAGCCCCCUGCUUGAUCGAAUCAUUGGCGUUGUUGAGUCUAGAAAAAUGUUUUGAGUCAUUUAGGAAUUAUAUAUCGGAGAGUUAGGAAUUCUUUUUACUCCCCAGUCCCUUCAUCGCUCUGGUGAGGCAUCCUGACAUAGAGUUUUGACUCUUCUCUUCUCAAAUUUCACUAAAAGAAUUUAGGAUCACGCGAGUAUCUUGGAAUUAUUCCGAUGGUUUUGUGACGAGAACAUUGUUCUUGGUGCCUCCUGACAUUUAGGAGUUGUGGCAGUGCCCCGGGGAGUUGAGCUCCGAGGUGUUGUCGUCACAAUUUUAUCGUUGCAGUUCUGGAAUACAUGAGUUUCGCCGACAUCGAAAAUCUCUUUUAUGCAGCAACCGCACUAGGGGCUUCCUGCUUAGUUAUUUUUCUCUUUCAGGACUUUAAUCUCUGGAAAACCUGUCUGGCAGCAGGAUUGCCGAACACAUGAUGCAGCAACCAAGGAGGCACAAAGCUACGUCACACCACGGAAC
rnacentral:lncRNA from 1 species